rnacentral:rRNA from 1 species
UUCGCAAUGCCCGAAAGGGUGACGAAGCGACGCCGCGUGUGGGAAGAAGGCCUUCGGGUUGUAAACCACUGUCGGGAGUUAAGAAAUGCAAGGAUAUGAAUAGUGUCUUUGCUUGACUAAGGCUCCGGAGGAAGCCACGGCUAACUCUGUGCCAGCAGCCGCGGUAAUACAGAGGCGGCAAGCGUUGCUCGGAAUUAUUGGGCGUAAAGAGCACGUAGGCGGCUAUGUAAGUCGGUUGUGAAAGUCUUCCGCUCAACGGGAGAACAGCAUCCGAUACUACAUGGCUUGAGUGCGGGAGGGGAGAGUGGAACUUCUGGUGGAGCGGUGAAAUGCGUAGAUAUCAGAAGGAACGCCGGCGGCGAAAGCGGCUCUCUGGCCCAUAACUGACGCUGAGUGUGCGAAAGCUAGGGGAGCAAACGGGAUUAGAUACCCCGGUAGUCCUAGCCGUAAACGAUGGGCACUAAGUAGAGGGGUUUU